GGUUUCCACCCACUCCAGUAGUUCUAUGGUCCAUGGUUAUAAUCCAAAACAAUAUUUGCUAAACAUUAAUCAUCUAUAAUUUACUGCGAAGCAAGUAUUCUCAAAAGGAAACAUUUUACAUAAGAGAAAAGAAGACAUAGUAAAAGAACAAGCCUGUUGUAGUAGUUUUUGGUGCCCUAAAUCCUAUUUCCCUUUCAUGAUAGUUGGAAGGCAGAUAAAAUCUCCAGCAAACAUUCUACAUGACUCAGAGGAUCUAUAAAGUUUAAGCUGUUUUAUUGUGAGAAGAAGAAAAAAAGCCCAUUGUGCUCUCUGGAUUAUGCUUCCUUUCUGAGUUCAUUGAAACUGAUCUAACCAGCAACAUUCCAGCCUCAUGCUCACUUCUACUUGUAAAACGACAGCCACCUUCUUUGCACCAUUGUGAACAAGCUAUUUAGGACAGAUCUCCUGUGGCUUUUUGGAUGAGCUUUUAAUCUGGAACCAUCGUUUCUUUGCGAGAACUUUGCCAGAUAAAAACUCUAAUGGUCUCAGUGCUGUCCACUGAGACACAGCUGAGUCACAGGACUAAGGGAAGAUGUCCCAGGGUAGCGCACGUUAAAAAGAAAAGGACUGAAACCUGACUGUGUAUGUGUUGAUUACAGAGCAAUCUUUCAAUCUUCCCAAGUGCUUUUCUUUUCUUUGCUAUAGUUGGAUCAGGCCUUUUGUGUGUGUGUUAGCGGAAAGGUAGAAGAGGUGGCAUUGAAGUGACUUUUUAAUACUUGACAAUGAAUGUUUUCACCAUCAGACAGUGACGCUCCAUUGUGUCUCCUCUUUGUCUUCUCAUUCUGUUGUUGCCUCCUCCAAGCCCCGGACUCCCUUUCCACUGAGUCACCGACUCCCUCGGAGCCACCUGUUCACAACGGUCACAGCUCUCAAACAAUCAACCAGUGUGACAGCUCAACAUCUCUAGGUACACAAAAUGAUGUUUUAGACACGACGAAGCUGAUCCUUCCUUACAUAAUGUUUAUUCCACUUCUCGCUCUCAUCCUUCUGCUGGUUUGGAAGGUCAAAUCAAAAAGGAACAGACAGGAUCAUGCACAGAAUCCUGGAGAAGGAGAAGUCUUCACAGGAACAGAAAGGACGACAUCUCAGCAAAACGUUGAGCCUUCAGAAAAAAUUAUACUGAAUGUCAUUGAAACUGUGUAAAGUUCUGUCUGCGUGUACAUCAGCCCAAUUGGGCUCUACUUUUCAUAACAACUGGUGUCCAAAGUUCAAAAACAAACCCAAAGCUGAGCACUGCUGUGAAAUGGCAGAAGUGAAGGACUUCUUAUUGACUGCCCUCCACAUUCAUGGUGGGAUAUUGCCUACACCAUUACCAGAAGUUGACUGGUUUGAUCGAACUGGAUACUGUUUGGAUAUUUGCCUUUCUUGUAAGACUACGUUAACCCCGUGCUUUUGAAAGUGACACAGCUCUAGCUGAUAAUCAACACUCUCCCAACCCCACAGCUCCAAGCCCUGAAUUAUCUGGCUCUGAAAGGUCAUCCAUCGCAACCUUCCUCCAUCAACCCUGUGGGGAAAACUUUGCUUAUUUAUCGACUUGCUUCUUCAGUCUCCUGUUGAUUUGAGGCUUCAUCUUCAAAGGCAAAGCUGAGAGUGAUUGAUGCCUGUGAUAUCUCAUGGGAACUGAGGCAUGAUUUACUACCUCUUAUGACCCUCAUGUCAACUACAUCCUCAACGUCCCUGUUUCCUCUAAGCCUGAGGUUUCCAAAAGAAUAAUCCUGAUAGUUACAAAGUUUUGUCUGGUUCAAGUAUGUGCCCAAGAGGGUGUAUGAUGGUGUGUUUUUUUUACUGUUGGCACUCAGCUGCUGCAUUUCCUGCAAAAAAAAACUUGUUUUAAGCAAUCAUUUAAGAGCAUCCAUACUUAGGUCACAUUUAAAGAAUAAUUUGUCCACUAAUCCCCCCUUAGACCUUAAAACAUCCAUUUUCUUUUCCUACUCCUUUUUGGAUUGUGGGGCCGCUGGUGCUUAUCUUCUGCAGUCACCGUGCAAGAGGUGGGACACACCCUGGACAAUUUCCAAGUCUGAAAACACAUUCCUCCUGAAAAUACAGUAUGUUUUUUUUUUUUUUUACUUAUAAAUUGUUGGAAUAAAUGACACUGGCAAUUCUGAAGGGGUAAAUGAAUUACUUUGAGUAAUAAUAAAAAAGAAAAAUGUGCUGCUUUAACUAACUUAGACUGUUAAAACUUGCAAUUGAAUCUUGCUAAACAGCAUGAGGAAUGAUGUCUCUGGAGCUACAUGUUUGUUGUAAAUUUAAUGGAAUUACUGGAAACGGAGGCAUCAGGCACAUAGAGGAGAAACAUGGGCCUACCACAAGGACAUGUUAGCUCAGCAAUGCCUUUAUUUGUAAUUGAAAUCAAAUAUGCUUUGCAAGGCAUCAAGACUUUUAAUGGCCAUUUCUCUAUAAAAGCUAAAUCAAACAUAUAGUUUAAAAACAUCAGACAGCAUACUAUUUUAUUUGAGUUAUUUUAAUAAUAACAUUUUUGAUUUUGACUAUGAAGUAAUCAAAUGUAGUUGCAAAUCUAACUCGUCCCAUCUUGGCUGGUAACUUACAAGCUUUAGGGGCAGAUUUACUAAGCCUGUCACAAAGUCAGUUUUAUAGGUGUGUAUUAGUACAAGUACUUAUACUGACAGUCACUCCUGUCUAAAAAAUGAUACCCAUGUAUGAUUUUCCCCUUUCUUUUUGCUAGCUGUCAUGCCAGCAAAUAGAGGAUGUUGUGCAUAAAGCACUCUACACCAAACAAAGCAAUAAUAGAUCUGAUACACAAAGGAACUGUUUGUUGCAGAACAGUAACGUGAAACAUUUUGUAUUUCCAGUGACCAGAGUAAAGGCAUACCUUCAAAAGGUAUGGAAAGCCAAAAAGAUCAUAAUUUGUGUGCUUUGAAAUGCCAUCUGGUGUCUUAUAAACUCAGUUAAACACGCCACAAGGCAAUUUUUAGGCAGCGUGUGUGUGAACUGAACACAAGUAUUCUCCCAAGAAGGCACAAGUGAUUCAAAUUUUAUUUAUUUACAUAUAGAAAUGUCAUGUAUUAGUUUUGUUUUGCAUAAAUUCUAGGCCAGAUAAAGUGAAAUAAACACUCCUUGUUUGUACGGUUUAAUAAAACAAUAAAAUAAAAAACUGUUUUGGAGUUUAUCAGACUUUAUGUUUGACACGUGGCCUGUGGGACACUUUAUGGUUGAGAUGUGAUGAAUAAAACAGUAUGAUGUGGCAUUUUUAUUUUUUCAAUUUUGUAAUGAAGUUACCAGUUGACAAUUUUUUUCAAUUUUUUGCUUUUACAUUUCCUGUUACCUUAGAGUCUCCAAUGGUGGUUUGUUUUUCUGUCUGUUCAGGAAGGUUAUUGUCUGUUUAAAACAAGGAAUCCCCCCCUGAAAGAAAGAGAAAAAGAAACAAAACAAACAACAAAAAAUAGCACUUGGCAAUCGUUUUGUUUUCCUGUUUUAUCCAAAAAAAAAAAAAAACUGUGAAUCCAUAGGUACAUACUAAACCAUGAAAUUCAUUUGUACCAUUUACACCCUUGCAGUUUUGACAUAUUGUUUUUAUUGUAUUUAUUUUCACCAAAGCAGCUCAACAUUACCAGCCAAGUGGUGUGGAUAUAAGUUUUGCAUCUGGCCAUGUUGUUUGUGUAUUCUUAAUAGUUUACCCUUGCAGUGUGCAACAUUCAGGGAGGUAUUUAAUGAAACACUGAGAUGUUCUUACUAAGCUUUUUUUAGCUGUGCAGUCAACUGCCUAUUGUGCCAUUAUUUACCAACAUAUAAAAAGCAAAUCUUAACUUUUGCACCUGACUUGACUGUUAGUUUCUGACAAUGGGAUGCAAAGCUGUUGCUGACAGAAAGGUAUUGUAUAAAAGCUGAGUUUUCCAUUUGUUUAAAUGAGUUUAGAAUGCCAAAAGGUUAUGUUUUAGGAGACGAUAGUUACCUGUUGUACCAAGCUUUAAGUAGCUUCUUGUGUUUUUGUUUUCCACAUUUGGGUGGUUGCUUUGUUUUUGUGGAUGCAAUCGUAUCUUCAUUAUUACAUUUAUUGUUCCAGAGAGCAGAGGAAAUAUCACAUAUUUGGCUACUUAAAACAGGUUUUCUGGAAGAGUCGAUGUUUAUACAUCUGUAACUGUGAGUGAUAGCUGGCUGUUAAGUAAAUGCUAAAUUGUUGUGGCGUUUUGUUAUUAGGCUACAUGUUGGGAUGUAAUGACUUCAUCAUGUGUGUGCAACAUGUUUGACUGUAGUUAAAAGGAAGAAUGAGAUCUUGUGACAUUCAUGUGACUAUCUUUUUUUUUAACUGAAAUAAAUUCAAUAAGCAAUCGUUUUAGAAAACAAAAGCUAAUUUCAAUCAGCUGAACAGAUCAAGUAGGUUCUCGUGUAUGUGACGAGUGCUCUGGUUACAAGAAAUGAGCUGUGUGUGUCACUGAUAAUUUUACAGGCUCCAGAUGACCACCAUGUCUGUCUAUCGUCUCCACAGUGAUUUAUGCUGCUUCUAGUUUUGAAAUGAACUUUUUGAACCCGAGUUUAUAAAUCAGCACAGUUUUGGAAUCUCAUCUGCAGAACCAAAUGCUCACGCAGGCACCAUUUAUGAAUUCCAACCAGGCGUUAAACUGCCCCAGAUCAUAAAUCUGCCUCCAUAUCCUUUCCUGUUGACUUUGCUUACAGUUUGACCUAUAUUAGUGCUUCUAUAUUAAAACCCUUCAUAUACAAACUUAUUUAGAACAUAUACCAAAAACUAUAAUGCAAAAACGUAAAGAGUGAUUGUAAAGUUAAUGAAAAUCUCUGAUAAAACCACCAUGUAUUUACGACGUUCAUCCACGAAGCUCACAACUUUGGAACACCACACAAACCAAAACUUCUGUUUUGCCUUAAAGUUGCACCGUAACACACUGCAGAAGAAAGUGCACUGUCAUCUUUUCCACAAAUUAAGCAGCUGAAGUGUUGUGCUUUGUUCUUAUUAAACACUUUAAAGCUAUUGUUUUUCCAAAAUUAUCAGUCUUUAGCUAUUGUGAAGUUCUCUAGCCCAUUCUGAUUUUGUUUUAAAGGGGUUGGCUUGUUCCUUAAUUCACUCUGAUAAGUAAGGAGCUGGAGGUACUCCCAUCAGUUUCCUAAUAGACUAUAGAUGUUUAACUGCAGAUUGAAUUCAUGAGGAGAAAGGCAACGGGGUUUUAUAAAAUGGUAGGAAACGUAUAGGUCAGUAAUGAAAUCUAUAAAUUAAAAUAGUUGUAUUCUUAACAAGUAAAAGUGUAGAAGUGUGAACAGGACACACUGGCUGUGACCUUGUCCCAUCAUUCAGCUAGAAGACACUGAAAGUGUAAAAGUGGCAGGACACAAAAACCUGCUUCUGGAAUUGGAGUGUCUCUAUCAUACAUGUGGUCUUACAUUGUUUAUUCCUUGUGCCUUGUUUGAUUAGUGUUUGACUGUAAAACUUGUCCUGUGUAUCUUUGUAGCAAAAACUAUCAGACACUACCCCUCAGCUGUUUCCUCUGUUAAAUGAGUUUAACUGGCUUCAUUUUUUGACCAGUCAAUAUUUUUCAGGUAAAGCAGUGUUUUGGUAUUUGAAAACUAUAUUGGCAGAACAAAUCACAGCAGUUGUAACAUUUCUGUUCACUUUAUCCUUUGUUAGCUUUAAGAGAACCAUUUCAGGUAGUAACUGUUUUUUUUUCCUGUACAAUUGGAGUUGUAUACUGAGAAUUUUUCUUAUAGAAGAACAGAGUAUAUUGUGCAAAAUUUAAUACAUGUUUGAAAAAGGUAUACCACAUUGGUGUUUAUAUAUUUCUAAUGAGCAGUACCUUUCAGCUUCAUUAGCUGGACGUUGUUGGUGUGUGGACAUUGUGUUAAACUGCAAAAUGACAAUAUUCAUAACAAAAUUGUUUUUUAAAUAACAUUAUAAACAGUAACUCAUUGCAUGUGCCAUAUCCUGUAUGGCAGUUUAGAGCUGAGUUACAGGAAUAUACACCUUUGAAGAAGUGACAUAAUUAUACUUUAAACAAAAAGAUUCUUAGAGUUAAAAAAAAAACAAAUUAAAGUUUUGUCCACAUAUAUAUUUGAGGAUGCACUUGAUAGCAAUCUUGGUGUAGACUGUCAUUUACAGUUUAUCCCUGAGACUUUCUUCCAUUAUGUUUAGUAAAUACAGGAUCUGGGAUUCUGACAAAAACACAUUAUCUUGCCACAAAUAAACAAACCAGGCAACGAUGUCAAAAAAUGCUUUUUACAUAUAAUCUAUUAAUAUAAUAGGAUGUUAACAGGUCUAAGCUGUGAAUAAAUACAAAUAAAUACCACAAUAUCCCCUUUUUCUGUCUUUUCUAAAGUUGGUAUGUUUGAUGCAUAAAGGCCAGAAACCUAGCUGUUUCAUGCAUUAGUCAAAAGUAUGACUGCCCCAAACACUGUUCCCAUGUGUGUUGCUGUGUGGCCCAAAAGAGAGCUGAGAUUCAUUCCAAAUAGUGCUUUUGAGCACAAGUUAUCCAGUUAAUCCCACAGAAGUGGACUGAUCAAGGCAGGAAGUAUAUCUGGGUGCCAAAAAGCAAAUGUAAUUAUUUCCCAGUGAAUUUUAUGGGUAAAAAUCUCUACUGUAUUCUGUAUUUUUGUGUAAAUGUAAACAAACAAAUAUGAAAUAUGAAUAAAGUACACAUAUCCUUA